GAUGAACGCUGGCGGCGUGCCUAAUACAUGCAAGUCGAGCGAACGGACGAGAAGCUUGCUUCUCUGAUGUUAGCGGCGGACGGGUGAGUAACACGUGGAUAACCUACCUAUAAGACUGGGAUAACUUCGGGAAACCGGAGCUAAUACCGGAUAAUAUUUUGAACCGCAUGGUUCAAAAGUGAAAGACGGUCUUGCUGUCACUUAUAGAUGGAUCCGCGCUGCAUUAGCUAGUUGGUAAGGUAACGGCUUACCAAGGCAACGAUGCACAGCCGACCUGAGAGGGUGAUCGGCCACACUGGAACUGAGGCACGGUCCAGACUCCUACGGGAGGCAGCAGUAGGGAAUCUUCCGCAAUGGGCGAAAGCCUGACGGAGCAACGCCGCGUGAGUGAUGAAGGUCUUCGGAUCGUAAAACUCUGUUAUUAGGGAAGAACAUAUGUGUAAGUAACUGUGCACAUCUUGACGGUACCUAAUCAGAAAGCCACGGCUAACUACGUG
rnacentral:rRNA from 1 species